AAAGGAAUAGACGGGGGCCCGCACAAGCGGAGGAGCAUGUGGUUUAAUUCGAUGAUACGCGAGGAACCUUACCUGGGCUAGAACGUAGAAUGACUAUAGGAGAAAUCUUAUAUCCCUUCGGGGCAGUCUACGAGGUGCUGCAUGGUUGUCGUCAGCUCGUGCCGUGAGGUGUCGGGUUAAGUCCCAUAACGAGCGCAACCCCUACCUUUAGUUGCCAUCAGGUCAAGCUGGGGACUCUAAAGGAACUGCCUACGCAAGUAGUGAGGAAGGCGGGGAUGACGUCAAAUCAGCACGGCCCUUACGUCCAGGGCUACACACGUGCUACAAUGGCCGAUACAGAGGGCAGCUACCUGGUGACAGGAUGCAAAUCUCCAAAGUCGGUCUCAGUUCGGAUCGGAGUCUGCAACCCGACUCCGUGAAGUUGGAUUCGCUAGUAAUCGCGCAUCAGCCAUGGCGCGGUGAAUACGUUCCCGGGCCUUGUACACACCGCCCGU
rnacentral:rRNA from 1 species